rnacentral:misc_RNA from 2 species
UGUGGGAGCGAGCUUGCUCGCGAAGCGGUAUUUCAGCCUGCAAGGAUAUUGACUGUGCCGCCGCCAUCGCGAGCAAGCUCGCUCCCACA